rnacentral:rRNA from 1 species
CAGCUCGUGUCGUGAGAUGUUGGGUUAAGUCCCGCAACGAGCGCAACCCUUUUCCUUACUUGCCAGCAUUUCGGAUGGGAACUUUAAGGAUACUGCCAGUGACAAACUGGAGGAAGGCGGGGACGACGUCAAGUCAUCAUGGCCCUUACGGCCAGGGCUACACACGUGCUACAAUGGUCGGUACAAAGGGUUGCUACACAGCGAUGUGAUGCUAAUCUCAAAAAGCCGAUCGUAGUCCGGAUUGGAGUCUGCAACUCGACUCCAUGAAGUCGGAAUCGCUAGUAAUCGCGGAUCAGAAUGCCGCGGUGAAUACGUUCCCGGGCCUUGUACACACCGCCCGUCACACCAUGGGAGUUUGUUGCACCAGAAGUAGCUAGCCUAACUGCAAAGAGGGCGGUUACCACGGUGUGGCCGAUGACUGGGGUGAAGUCGUAACAAGGUAGCCGUAGGGGAACCUGCGGCUGGAUCACCUCCUUA